rnacentral:lncRNA from 1 species
CGGCGUUGUCCCUCGUCCCCAGGGUGGCAUCGGUGUCCCUCGUCCCCGUGGCAGCGUUGUCCCCGGUCCCCGCGGUCCCCACGGCCUUGACCCUCGUCCCCAGGGUGGCAUCGGUGUCCUGCGGUCCCCAUGGCGACGUUGUCCCUCAUCCCCGUGGUCCCCAUGGCCUUGUCCCUCGUCCCUAGGGUGGCAUCGGUGUCCUGUGGUCCCAAUGGCGGCGUUGUCCCUCGUCCCUAUGAUGGCGUUCCUCGUCCCUGCGGUCCCCACGGCCUUGUCCCUCGUCCCCACAGUGGCAUCGGUGUCCUGCGGUCCCCAUGGCGGCGUUGUCCCUCAUCCCUGCGGUCCCCACGGCCUUGUUCUUCGUCCCCACAGUGACAUCGGUGUCCUGUGGUCCCCAUGGUGGCGUUGUCCCUCAUCCCUGUGGUCCCCAUGGCCUUGUCCCUCGUCCCCGCGGUCCCUGCGGUGUUGUCCCUUGUCCCCACGGUGGCAUCGGUGUCCCUUGUCCUCAUGGUGGUGUUGUCCCUCGUCCCCGCAGUCCCCGUGGCGGUGUUGUCUCCGGUCCCUCGUCCCCACGGUGGCAUCGGUGUCCUGCGGUCCCCGUGGCGGCGUUGUCCCUCGUCCCCGCAGUCCCCAUGGUGGCAUUGGUGUCCUGCGGUCCCCGUGGUGGCGUUGUCCCUCGUCCCCGCGGUCCCCACGGUGGCAUUGGUGUCCCUUGUCCCCACGGUGGCAUCGGUGUCCUGCGGUCCCCGUGGCGGCGGCGUUAUCCCCGGUCCCCGCGGCGGCGGCACCGUUGUCCCCGGUCGCCGCGGUGGCUGACGCGGGGCUCGGGGACGCCGCCGGUGCCGGUGCCGGUGACGACGGCAGGCUGCUGGUGGGGGGCACGCGGCUGCGCGACCCCCC